rnacentral:rRNA from 1 species
GAUGAACGCUGGCGGCGUGUCUAAUACAUGCAAGUCGAGCGAACAGAUGAGGAGCUUGCUCCUCUGACGUUAGCGGCGGACGGGUGAGUAACACGUGGAUAACCUACCUAUAAGACUGGGAUAACUUCGGGAAACCGGAGCUAAUACCGGAUAAUAUAUUGAACCGCAUGGUUCAAUAGUGAAAGACGGUUUUGCUGUCACUUAUAGAUGGAUCCGCGCCGCAUUAGCUAGUUGGUAAGGUAACGGCUUACCAAGGCAACGAUGCGUAGCCGACCUGAGAGGGGGACGGCCCAAAUGGAACCUGGAACACGGCCCAACCCCCACGGGGGGGAAGCAGAGGGAAAUUUUCCGAAAUGGGGAAAACCUGAACGAGCAAACCCGCGGGAGGUAAGAAGGUUUUCGGAUUGUAAAACUCUUUUUUUAGGGAAAAAAAAAAGUGUAAGGAACCAUUCACGUCUUUAAGGGACCUAAUCAAAAAACCCCCGGUAACCUCCUG